rnacentral:lncRNA from 1 species
AGGACAGAAGCCAAGGAAGCCGAACAUUUGAGGUAUGAGAAAUCUUUUUUUUUUCUUUUUAAUGCUGUAGAGAGAAACAGAGAAAGAAAAACCAGAAAAGAAUAAUGGAUUUAACUAAAAAGAGGUCUUUGUUGACCUUUUAGAAAACAGUUUCAGUGUUGCUGGGAGGAUGGAAACCGCAUUGCCAAGUAUGCAGUAGAUGAGAUUGUGGAUAGAGAACAAAUGCAACCCCAAGGCAUUUACCAUCCAUUUAAGAGCUUAGGUAGCCCACAGAAAGUGUGCUGGGGGCUGGGCAUGACUAUCCACGGAGACCUGUUGUAGCGUUGAAGAUACGUGAAAUUCCGGUAAUAAGGGACAAAAUGGUUAAGCUCUUGAUUUGAGACUAAGGAUGGAGAUGGGGCCAUUUAGAAUGCCCAGAUUCAAGAGGCAAGUAGAAAGGAGAGUUGACGAAGGGUCCCGAGCAGGGACAGCUGGAAAAGCAGAGCUGGUGGAACUUGGAGAGCUGUGGCUUCCUGUGGUUGUUGAAGGUGACGGUCAUCUUGAUCCUGGCUGGGCAGUGCUGGAGCAGCUUCCCCACCUGGGGAUCUCACUGGCUAUCCUUCUCCUCAACUUGGAUGUUUAGUUGUCUUUUUAUUUCUUUGUUUAUUGUUGCUAUUGGCUUUGUUUGUGGGUUUAUUUCUUAUUUUGGGACUUUUAGCACAUAAAGUUGGAGAUAAUGAAUGGGAACAGAAUGGGAAAGAGUGGAUAUAAUGAUACACCACAUACCCAUCACCUACUUUCAAUAAUUACCUACACUUUCCCAGUCUUCUUCCAUGUAUUCCCCAUACUCUAUUGUCUAUUUUUCUGGAGAAUUUUGAAGUAAAUCUAAUAUAUCAUACCAUUUUACUUGUAAUUAUUUUAGAGGAUAUCUCUAAAGAUAAGGGUUUUUCUCAUUUAAAAAACACAGCCACAAGUCAUCACCACACCUAAAAAAUUUUAUUGGGGUAAAGUUUUUUUGUUUUUUUUUUUUGAGACGGAGUCUUGCUCUAUU